AGGACGAACGCUGGCGGCGUGCUUAACACAUGCAAGUCGAGCGGUAAGGCCCUUUCGGGGGUACACGAGCGGCGAACGGGUGAGUAACACGUGGGUAACCUGCCCUCAGCUCUGGGAUAAGCCUGGGAAACUGGGUCUAAUACCGGAUAUGACCUCGUAUCGCAUGGUGCGGGGUGGAAAGUGUUCAGCGGCUGAGGAUGGGCCCGCGGCCUAUCAGCUUGUUGUGGGGUGUGGCCUACCAAGGCGACGACGGGU
rnacentral:rRNA from 1 species